rnacentral:rRNA from 1 species
CGAUCUCCUGGCUCAGGACGAACGCUGGCGGCGCGCCUAAUACAUGCAAGUCGAACGAGUACGCACUUCGGUGCAAUGUACGAGUGGCGAACGGGUGAGUAACACGUGAGAAACCUGCCUCGGAGACCGGGACAACCAUUGGAAACGAUGGCUAAUACCGGAUGUCCUUACUUGAUCGCAUGAUCGUGUAAGGAAAUGAUCCGUCGCUCCGGGAGGGUCUCGCGGCCUAUCAGCUAGUUGGUGAGGUAACGGCUCACCAAGGCAUCGACGGGUAGCUGGUCUGAGAGGACGAUCAGCCACACUGGGACUGAGACACGGCCCAGACUCCUACGGGAGGCUGCAGCAGGGAAUAUUGUGCAAUGAGCGAAAGCUUGACACAGCGACACCGCGUGUGGGAUGACGGUUCUAGGAUUGUAAACCACUUUCAGGAGGGAAGAAAAUGACGGUACCUCCACAAGAAGACCCGGCCAACUAUGUGCCAGCAGCCGCGGUAAUACAUAGGGGUCAAGCGUUGUCCGGAUUUAUUGGGCGUAAAGAGCUCGUAGGCGGUUCAACAAGUCGGUCGUAAAAGUUUAGGGCUCAACCCUAAAAUGUCGAUCGAUACUGUUGUGACUAGGAUACGGUAGAGGUGAAUGGAAUUCCGAGUGUAGCGGUGAAAUGCGUAGAUAUUCGGAGGAACACCAAUUGCGAAGGCAGUUCACUGGACCGUGAUCGACGCUGAGGAGCGAAAGCUAGGGGAGCAAACAGGAUUAGAUACCCUGGUAGUCCUAGCUGUAAACGAUGGAUACUAGAUGUAGGAACUGGAUUGACGGUUUCUGUAUCGUAGCUAACGCGUUAAGUAUCCCGCCUGGGGAGUACGGUCGCAAGACUAAAACUCAAAGGAAUUGACGGGACCCCGCACAAGCGGCGGAGCAUGCGGCUUAAUUCGAUGAUACCCGUAGAACCUUACCUGGACUUGACAUAUAGGGAAAAACUGGAGAAAUUCAGUGUGCGUAAGCGCCCUAUACAGGUGGUGCAUGGCUGUCGUCAGCUCGUGUCGUGAGAUGUUGGGUUAAGUCCC